AACUCCUUUCUUUUACCUUUUCAAGAGGUGUCUCAUUCCUCGGGCUACUCAUCACAAACACAAUUUCCGGCUUUUAAGACUGCUCCUGGCGGUCAGGCUAAGUCCAAGAAAGCGAAGGCAACAAAACCAGUGGAAGACCCGCCAGUACUGGCAUCUGAGCCGGCUAGGCCACCUUCACCAUUAACUGUCGCCCCAGAAGACCCGCCUAUUGUCCAUGAAGCAAAUCUUCCAGAGCCAUCCCUUGUCAAGACCACUAUUAACCCUUCUGCAGCUGGUCCAUCAAGCUCAACUGACCCACCGUCUCCCCAUGUUCAAGAUGUUCAAAUUACUGGGAGCCGCUUUGUUGAACCGGGGAACCCGACGGUAUUGGCACGGUGCACAGCUAAGCAAGAAGCUUUGGAGAGGCGGAAGGUUCGUCUUGAUGUUGCCAACUGA
rnacentral:rRNA from 1 species